GCAGUUCUUCCACUCGCUGAUGUUCUCCUUGAUCCACUUCAGCACGGCGGGCUCGGCGUACAGGUUGUCCACAGGAAUAUCAAAGAAGCCCUGGUUUCAGAACACAAGAGCAGAGGGCCACAGGAGUCAGGGAAACUGGAGCACAGUGUCAUGUGGCACAAAGCGCCGUGGUGCAGCCACGCUGAAUACUGUCGUCGACAAGCAUUCAUGUCAAAUAAAGGUUUCAGGUUGCACGACCAGGCUCUGUGCCACCUCCCCACAGAUGCCCUUCUAUAACGUAGUAGGACUGCGCGAUCCAAGACGAGUGCUCACCUGUAUCUGAGAGGCAUGCAAAUCCAUUGUGAUGAUGUGGUCCGCCCCAGACACGGACAACAUGUUGGCCACCAACUUCGCAGAGAUGGGAGCACGGCUCUGCAAUGACAUGGAUAACUUUAGUCACACGAAACAGUCACUAAAUGACAUGCUAUAAACAUAUUAUUUUAUAUGAAAAUAAUACAGCUUCUAUUCUUACAUACAGGCAGAAUUUAAUUCAAACCCAUUUCCUUAUUCUUUAAAUCUUAACAGGUGUCUACCAUCAUUGAAGAUAAUUUCAUAACAUAAAAACACCAUAAAGGCAUGACAAUAAUUCAUAAAGGAAUCGCUCAAUGGCAAAUAUUAACUUUACAAGUUAUCCAUGCACAAGGAGCAAAGCCAAUUUUAACUACAAAGAUUGUUUAGUAAGAUACAUUUGUCUUAACAUAACCCUAGAUAGCCAAGAUGGUACGCAUGGAAAAUGUUAUAGAGAUCCUGUUAGCGUGGCUAGUAGAGUCCAUUUAUAUCAUUGAAUUGACCUUUAACCUUAUCCCAAGGUGUAUGUUGGAAAUCAUUGUAGGGCAGACUUGAGGGCUAGGGAGCCAUUUAUCGAUGUUCCUGUGUUUACUCUCCUGAUAUACAUUUUUUGAGAUAGUCUGCAAUGAGGUACUGGUCAAUAUUCACCAUUUGCAGAUAGCUGACUUACAACAUAAUUCACUUUAAGCAUGCCUUAUAAUGGAUUCAGAUCAGUUAAAACAGCACAAACAACCAACCAAUCAUGGUCAGUUGGGACAAAUGAUCUGUUCGCUUGCAUGGUUCAAUGGUAAAUUGGUAUGAAUGUAUGAUUGUGAUACAGGCCGUGUUUAAUGGUGUGCAGUGGCUUAAUGGCGUGAAAAAAGUAACUAGACAAAUAUCCCUCACCCCCACCUUGUCCUUCUUGUCUUGUCGGGCGUAAGGAAAACAGGGGAUGACGGCUGUGACCCUGGAUGCUGAGGCGAUCUUGCAGGCGUUAAUCAUUAUGAGGAGCUCCAUUAAAUUAUCGUUGAUCUCCCCACAGCCACUCUGUACGAUG